GUGGCUUCCUCUGCAGGUACUGUCAAAGCUAUCAAUUAUUCAUCGACAGCUUGUUCUCCCCUGCUGACAGGAGUUUACAACCCGAAGGCCUUCAUCCUCCACGCGGCGUCGCGUCGUCAGGGUUUCCCCCAUUGCGAAAGAUUCUCGACUGCAGCCACCCGUAGGUGUCUGGACAGUGUCUCAGUUCCAGKGUGGCUGACCAUCCUCUCAGACCAGCUACCCGUCUUAGCCUUGGUGAGCCAUUACCUCACCAACUAGCUGAUAGGCCGCGGGCCCAUCCAAGGGUGAUAGGUCCUUACGGAUCCCCAUCUUUCCCCUGCACUUCGAAAAGUGCAGGACGUAUCCGGUAUUAGCCCGUCUUUCGACAGGUUAUCCCGAACCCUAGGGCAGGUAACCCACGUGUUACUCACCCUUUCGCCACUAAACUUCCGAAAAAGCUAGAAGUUCCGUUCGACUUGCAUGCCUAAUCCACGCCGCCAGCGUUCGUUCUGAGCCAUGAUCAAACUCUAAUCACUAGUGAAUUCGCGGCCGCCUGCAGGUCGACCAUAUGGGAGAGCUCCCAACGCGUUGGAUGCAUAGCUUGAGUAUUCUAUAGUGUCACCUAAAUAGCUUGGCGUAAUCAUGGUCCAUAGCUGUUUCCA
rnacentral:rRNA from 1 species